GACGAACGCUGGCGGCGUGCUUAACACAUGCAAGUCGAACGGUGAAGCGCCUUCCUUUUUGGUGGGUGUGGAUGAGUGGCGAACGGGUGAGUAACACGUGAGUAACCUGCCCCCUUCUUCUGGAUAACCGCAUGAAAGUGUGGCUAAUACGGGAUAUUCUGGGUCUGUCGCAUGAUGGGUCUGGGAAAGAUAUUGUUUCGGUGGGGGAUGGGCUCGCGGCCUAUCAGCUUGUUGGUGGGGUGAUGGCCUACCAAGGCGGUGGCGGGUAGCCGGCCUGAGAGGGUGGACGGUCAGAAAGGGAGAGAGGCACCGGCCAACACCCGAAGGGAGGCAGCAGUGGGGAAUAUUGCGCAGUGGGCGCAAGCCUGAUGCAGCGACGCCGCGUGAGGGAUGGAGGCCGUCGGGUUGGGAACCUCUUUCGCCAGUGAAGCAGGCCUGCCUCGUUUGUGGGUGGGUUGACGGUAGCUGGAUAAGAAGCGCCGGCUAACUACGU
rnacentral:rRNA from 1 species